rnacentral:rRNA from 1 species
UUGGUCUGUUGUGUUGGGAUCAUGUAGUACCUAAGGGGCGGGUGGUAAAUGGUGUGCCAGCUACCGCGGUUAUACAUUGGGCCUGGAGUGGAGUGGGUGAGGAGAUUGUGCGUGGGGUGUGGGGAAUAAGGUUGUGUUGUAGUGGAGGUUAGGUGAAAUUAUCUUUUUGGUGGGGCCUUGUUGUAUGGGCUAGGUGUGUGGAAAAUUUUUAAUGAGACUAGGAUUAGAUACCCUAUUAUUGAAAUCGUGUUGUUAGGUAGUAGAAGAAAGACUAGAAACCUAAAAUUUUUGGCGGUCUGUUAGGCUAGUUAGAGGAACCUGCCCUUUUAUGGAUGGUCCUCCUUAGAUUUUACUUUUUCUGGUUUUAAAGCUUAAAUACCGCCGUCGGAAAAUGAAUUUGUUGAGGAUUUGUUGGUGUAGCUGUUUGUGAAGAUGACAGGUCAAGGUUUAGUUGAUGAAGAAGGUGGUGAGGUGGGUUACAUUGGCUGUUGGUGGUGGAUUUUGAUAUAAAAGUGUCGAUUGAAAGUGGAUUUAAAAGUAAAUAGUUAGAAUAGUGGACUAUUGGUUGGGGCGCUGAUGGAUGUACAUAUCGCCCGUCGCUCUUGUUGUUGAGAUAAGAUAAGUCGUAACAAAGUAGGGGUAUUGGAAAAUGCACCUGGUGUAGU